UACGACCAAGUCCAAGUCCACCAUUCGUGGGGUGGGUUGACACAGAGAGAGAGAGAGGGAGAGAGGGAGCGAGGAGGAGGCGGGAAUCUCUCUGUCGCCCAAAGCCCGGCUCCGUGCCAUUCAUUGCGAGGGGGCGGCUGAAGGCCACGGCGCGCCCUCGAGGCUCAGCGCACGGCGCGUGCGGGCGAAGAAGCAGAGGCGGAGGCAUAAAGCCCUCCUCGUGUGAGGGAGGACGCUUCCUUCCUGGGCUGCGUUUUCUCUUCCACUCAGUUGGGGAGAGGAAAGAGGAGGAGGACGUCUCCCGUGGGAGAAAAGGCGCCGUGGGUUUGGCGGGAAGUCUUCUCCUGGGCUCGCCAGGAGGGGAAGAUGGAGGUGAAGGGAGUUGAGGCAGAGGAGGACGCCCAGGCGGGGCGGGAAAGAGGCGGCGGCGAGGAGGAGGAGGAGGAGGAGGAGGAGGAGGAGGGCGCGCCGCAGCCGCCUCAGCCGCCGGAGAAGAAGAGGCAGAGCGGCGAGAAAGAAGACAAAAAGAGAUUUACACUGAAAUCCUCUGGAGCUCAUUGACUAUGACUUACUGCUGAAGAGCCACUGAACAGCUAUGUCUUCUAAAGGGAUUUCAGGACAUAUUAAAUCUGCUGAAGGCGAAAACAUAUUGCAAUUUGCUUUCAAGUAUUAAAAAUUAAGUAACCAGCAGUACAAGUAGACAAUCACUCCCCAAAUUUCUAUUCACUUGUAUAGUGACUUUAUUUUAUCUAAUAUAGCGGUGAAAUUGUUAAACAAUUGAAAAUUACAAUUACAAUAGUGGAGUUUAUUUGUAAGAAAGAUAACUGCAUUUGAAUAUUUAAGAAUCCAGAGGGUAUUUUUUUUGUCAAGACUCCACUGUUACUUUAUUUCAAGGCUGUCUGGACCACCACAUUCUAAAAAAGAAAAUGAUACAGAAAAUCUACAGAUCAACUAUACACGAAUUAGUAAUAGUGGAAAACAUGAAUUAAUAUAAGCCCAAAAAUCAAAUAACAAAGACAGCAUAAGGAAACAACAGUACUCAUAACAGACAAAACAAAACAAAAAACCAAAAAUUAAAAAUAGACAUUCAAAACCAAUACUAAAUCUUUUCCUUCUUUAUAUUUGUGAAUUCAGUAGCUAAGUUACCGAUUGUCUCCAUCUUUCAAGUUUUAAAUCAUAAACUUCUUACUGGAAUGCAGCUAGAACUAUAAGACCUAAAUGUCCUGAAGGUGCUAAAUCCCAUUUGAUUUUGGAAUCUACGCAGGGUCUGCUCUGGGUAAUACUAGGAUGUGAAGGCACCAGGGAAUACCAAGACCUGUAGACUGUAUUUCAGAGAAGAACAACAGCAAACCACCUCUGAUGAUUUAUGGAAGAAAACCCUAUGAAAUCUAUAGUGCCAUCAUAGGUUGGCAGGCAUUAUAAAGUCACCCCCCCCAAAUCUAUAAAUACAGAUAUGUCCAGUCUCUUUGUAAAAUGCACAUGUUUAGUAGAAGGUGUAUAUCACCUGUCUGAGGAAAAUGCAGAAUGUUUGAACUUUCAUAUCAUUUCAGGCUUUUAGAUAAAUUGAUUUGUCCUGUUUAACUUAUGUUCAUGAACAGGGCCGUAGCCAGAAAAAAAAUUCGGCAGGGGUUUUGAAAAUUUUGGGGGGGGGGGUUGAACCCCUAGCACAUACCCCUCCCCGCUACAAACCUGUCAAUAUCUGCUUGAGAUAGUGCCUGGAGGGACUCUUAAUGUUUUGCAUCUCAUAGACUUAGCAUGGGGAUUUGGUUAACCAGUUAAAAUUCAUGAGUAAACGAGAUUUUUUUUAUAACUUGAAAAAUUUCAGGGGGGGGGGUUUGAACCCCUAACCCCCCCCCCCCCCUCGCUACAGGCCUGUUCAUGAAGGUAGGGGAUAAUCCUCAGCAAUAAAUGCACACUUUUCCAAACGCUCCCAUUAAAUGUGCAAGGACACCAAAAAAGAUCAUGUACUUUAGAAAGACUGGCAAGAUUGUCUACUAUGCAUAUUAAGGGACCUGUCACUGCGUCCUGUGCUUAUUUAGUUUUGACAUGCCUUAAAUUAACUGUGUAGGGUUGAACUGUCAGCAUUAUGCAUCUUUUUAUCACAUAUUAUUUUUUAUGCUGUUAUCCUUAUUGGAAUUGUCUGUUCUCUGUGAAUUGCUUACUGAACAAUGCCAGUGUAAAAAAUGUGGCAUAUAAAUAAAUGACUACAUCUGUUAGCCUUGCUCUUGAGCAGCAAAAUGACACUUGAUUUAUUUACUGAGUGAAUGAAUAAAUGGAUGGAAUUAAUAAAUGAAUGG
rnacentral:lncRNA from 11 species